rnacentral:rRNA from 1 species
GGCGGCAUGCUAUACAUGCAGUCGAACGAGUUCUCGUUGAUGAUCGGUGCUUGCACCGAGAUUCAACAUGGAACGAGUGGCGGACGGGUGAGUAACACGUGGGUAACCUGCCCUUAAGUGGGGGAUAACAUUUGGAAACAGAUGCUAAUACCGCAUAGAUCCAAGAACCGCAUGGUUCUUGGCUGAAAGAUGGCGUAAGCUAUCGCUUUUGGAUGGACCCGCGGCGUAUUAGCUAGUUGGUGAGGUAAUGGCUCACCAAGGCGAUGAUACGUAGCCGAACUGAGAGGUUGAUCGGCCACAUUGGGACUGAGACACGGCCCAAACUCCUACGGGAGGCAGCAGUAGGGAAUCUUCCACAAUGGACGCAAGUCUGAUGGAGCAACGCCGCGUGAGUGAAGAAGGCUUUCGGGUCGUAAAACUCUGUUGUUGGAGAAGAAUGGUCGGCAGAGUAACUGUUGUCGGCGUGACGGUAUCCAACCAGAAAGCCACGGCUAACUACGUGCCAGCAGCCGCGGUAAUACGUAGGUGGCAAGCGUUAUCCGGAUUUAUUGGGCGUAAAGCGAGCGCAGGCGGUUUUUUAAGUCUGAUGUGAAAGCCCUCGGCUUAACCGAGGAAGCGCAUCGGAAACUGGGAAACUUGAGUGCAGAAGAGGACAGUGGAACUCCAUGUGUAGCGGUGAAAUGCGUAGAUAUAUGGAAGAACACCAGUGGCGAAGGCGGCUGUCUGGUCUGUAACUGACGCUGAGGCUCGAAAGCAUGGGUAGCGAACAGGAUUAGAUACCCUGGUAGUCCAUGCCGUAAACGAUGAAUGCUAGGUGUUGGAGGGUUUCCGCCCUUCAGUGCCGCAGCUAACGCAUUAAGCAUUCCGCCUGGGGAGUACGACCGCAAGGUUGAAACUCAAGGAAUUGACGGGGGCCCGCACAAGCGGUGGAGCAUGUGGUUUAAUUCGAAGCAACGCGAAGAACCUUACCAGGUCUUGACAUCUUUUGAUCACCUGAGAGAUCAGGUUUCCCCUUCGGGGGCAAAAUGACAGGUGGUGCAUGGUUGUCGUCAGCUCGUGUCGUGAGAUGUUGGGUUAAGUCCCGCAACGAGCGCAACCCUUAUGACUAGUUGCCAGCAUUUAGUUGGGCACUCUAGUAAGACUGCCGGUGACAAACCGGAGGAAGGUGGGGAUGACGUCAAAUCAUCAUGCCCCUUAUGACCUGGGCUACACACGUGCUACAAUGGAUGGUACAACGAGUUGCGAGACCGCGAGGUCAAGCUAAUCUCUUAAAGCCAUUCUCAGUUCGGACUGUAGGCUGCAACUCGCCUACACGAAGUCGGAAUCGCUAGUAAUCGCGGAUCAGCACGCCGCGGUGAAUACGUUCCCGGGCCUUGUACACACCGCCCGUCACACCAUGAGAGUUUGUAACACCCGAAGCCGGUGGCGUAACCCUUUUAGGGAGCGAGCCGUCUAAGGUGACAAAUUGG